rnacentral:rRNA from 1 species
UGGGGAAUUUUGGACAAUGGGCGAAAGCCUGAUCCAGCAAUGCCGCGUGUGUGAUGAAGGCCUUCGGGUUGUAAAGCACUUUUGGCGGGAACGAAAAGGACUGUGCCAAUACCACGGUUCGAUGACGGUACCCGCAGAAUAAGCACCGGCUAACUACGUGCCAGCAGCCGCGGUAAUACGUAGGGUGCAAGCGUUAAUCGGAAUUACUGGGCGUAAAGAGUGCGCAGGCGGUUUUGCAAGACCGAUGUGAAAUCCCCGGGCUUAACCUGGGAACUGCAUUGGUGACUGCAAGGCUAGAGUGUGUCAGAGGGAGGUGGAAUUCCGCAUGUAGCAGUGAAAUGCGUAGAUAUGCGGAGGAACACCGAUGGCGAAGGCAGCCUCCUGGGAUAACACUGACGCUCAUGCACGAAAGCGUGGGGAGCAAACAGGAUUAGAUACCCUGGUAGUCCACGCCCUAAACGAUGUCUACUAGUUGUCGGGGAUUAAUUUCCUUGGUAACGCAGCUAACGCGUGAAGUAGACCGCCUGGGGAGUACGGUCGCAAGAUUA